CUUUCAGGAUUCCUGGGCUGGGGACAGGGAGAGGAAGAAGAGAAAGAUCCGCCAUGCUGGAAAAAGGAGAACUAAGAUGCCACACCCGAGAAGCUCAGGACAGAGAACAUAGCCGCCAUAUUGGAGGGACUCCAUCCAAUAAAGGCAAAUAAAGAGAGCCUGAAAGUAUAGCUUGGCACCUACGCAGCAAGCCACUCCUGUCUACAGUGCUCAUGAACCUUCCAGAAUCAUGGAGAAGACCUGCCGUGCAUGGCCCUUAUUGCAAGUUUGCUUCUGCCACAUCUGGGUCUCCCGAGGUCGGAGAGGAUCGUCUUUAAUAUUCCUUGGUAGAUUCCAGGAGCAGCCCCCAUCCAUGGUUUGGAGGACUCGACCCUAUGGAGCGCCCUGGCCUGGAGGUGUGCAGGUUAGAAGGAACCCCAGCUGUGGCACCUCACUAUCCUUCUCUUUCCCGACCCGUUCAAAAAUAAAAAAAUAAACCCCAAU
rnacentral:lncRNA from 1 species